UACGUAGGGCGCAAGCGUUGUCCGGAAUUAUUGGGCGUAAAGAGCUCGUAGGCGGUUUGUCGCGUCUGCUGUGAAAACCCGAGGCUCAACCUCGGGCCUGCAGUGGGUACGGGCAGACUAGAGUGCGGUAGGGGAGACUGGAAUUCCUGGUGUAGCGGUGGAAUGCGCAGAUAUCAGGAGGAACACCGAUGGCGAAGGCAGGUCUCUGGGCCGCAACUGACGCUGAGGAGCGAAAGCAUGGGGAGCGAACAGGAUUAGAUACC
rnacentral:rRNA from 1 species